rnacentral:rRNA from 1 species
UACAGAGGGGGCAAGCGUUGUUCGGAAUUACUGGGCGUAAAGGGCGCGUAGGUGGCCUUCUAAGUUGAACGUGAAAUCCCUGGGCUCAACCCAGGAACUGCGUCCAAGACUGGGAGGCUUGAAUCCGGGAGAGGGACGCGGAAUUCCAGGUGUAGCGGUGAAAUGCGUAGAUAUCUGGAGGAACACCGGUGGCGAAGGCGGCAUCCUGGACCGGUAUUGACACUGAGGCGCGAAAGCCAGGGGAGCAAACGGG